GAGAUGAGCGCCUUACCGUUUUCUUCUCCUCCCACCCCCUCUCCUUUCCACCUCCGGCUGGAGGCUAGGCCGCUAGGGUUGCCUUCACAGUGCCGCCACCACAGUCAUCUCCACCGUCCAUGCUCCUCCAGCGCCGGCCACCGGAGAAGGCGCUCUCCAUCUGCCACCGCCUCGCCCCAAUCAGCCCACCCCAGCUCCUUCGGCACCGGCAACUGGACCGUCGCCACCGGCGGCUUCUCUCGCACUCGUGCCCUCUCCAUCUCCCACCCGGAACUCCACCUCCUCCAGCCCCAUAUCCCCCGAUCUUCACGGUCUGGAUCUUGGGAGCACGCGAGAGAGAGACGACGUGGGCGUUGCCCGGACGAGACAUGGUAGUACUGGCGAGAGACAGAGGAGGGUUGGCUGUGUAUGGCGUCGUUGAAGAAUCGGGGGAGGCCGGACAAGGGCGGUUGGCGUUCGGUGCCCGCGGUGGCCAGAUGGGUGGCUCCGCCGCUCUCGUGCAACCCGUCCUCCACCGUGCUUACUUCCUCCACGACCACCUCGGGGCCUCCAUCAAUCACCUGCGCUUCCUCGGCAGGAAGCUGAUUACAGGGAAUGGGGGCAUGUCGUGCAAGAAAUCACGAGGUUUCUAAAGGCUGACUCGCUUUUCAUGAACCUGAGACCUCUCAGGAGCUUUUGUUGUGCUGAGUGUACGAGACAAGCAGCGGCUCUGUGCAUAUGCGCUCGUCCGUGUUAUGUGCUCCCGUAGGGCGGCAGAUGCGUGUGGCGUGUGUGCGAAACGUGCGCCGGUCGACGUGCGCCUGUGUUCGUGUGUGUGGCGCUAUACUGGCAGAGGAAGCGGGCGGUUGCCGGCAGAGGAGGAACUUCAAGACAACAAUGGGCAUCAGGCUUCACGGCUACACAUUCAUCUUUGAUUUUCUCCCAAAAACUGAAAUUGUUUGACCCUUAAAUUUUAAUUCCCUUGAGAAAGUCAGUGUAUUCAUGGAAAAUAUGGUCUAACGAUGUUGACAAAUUUGAUUGCAACAGGAAUUGGCAAAGUAAGUGCAGUGCUCACCAUUGCACAUAUAUUCAGGGCAAAAUCUAACUUCAGUCAGAAGAAGAUGACCAGGGAGGAGCUAUAUAUCCCUGUUGAAAGUUCAGGUAUCUUCCUCUUGUAUGUUGGUAUUGCUCUUUUUUAUUUGCAUUUAAGUGUGUUUCUCAUGCUAUAUCCUGGAGAGAAGUGAUUGUCAGGUACCUAGGACCACAGGUGUUCACUUCUUUAUUGCUAACUGAUAAAAUCAUCCAUCGUGAAUUUUCCAUCUGAGUGGCAACACUAGACAGGAGGAAGGUCUGGUAACCCUAGACCAAACAGUAUUGCAAGUGCCAAGUUAGUUUUCACUAACUACAAAUUUAAAUAUAGAUGAACCUUGACAUUGGCUUUGGUUGCACGCUUAUGGCUAAUGUCCGUGGCAAUAUUUGCAAGUAUAUUCUUAUCAAGUGAUAUGAUGCAUCUCCCACUUUUUUAUUUGCAAGUUAGUUGUCACCCUACUAUUAAAAGACGAUGAGAUCCUCGGCCACGCUGCCGUCUACUCCCCGGUGCGCGCCUCUUGCAUCAUCCCCCCGCUGCUUAUCCAGUCCCAGCUGCCGGAGAGUCCCGCCGCUGGCACAAGCACCUUGCAAUCGAGAUGUGCUUCUCCGCUGGUGCUGGAGUUAUGGACAUCUUGCAAAUCAUCUAUGUGAUAUGAGAUCAAAUGUUAUCUGCAAUGCUACACUUCAUAAGCAUGGGAUCUGGCGAUCCUUCCAGGCUUACUUGCAGGUUAGUGCAUAUGGCGUUGGGUUGGCGUUGGUGCAGGUUCAGGUUCAUUCACAACACAUUCAGGAGAUCAAUGGAGACCAUCUCUAGGUAUUUCAAGCAGGUGCUUUUUGCUGUUGGGGAGCUUAGAGGAGAGAUGAUAAAGAGACCAUCUGGGCAGACUCCACCCAAGAUUCACGGAAGCCCAAGAUGGUAUCCAUACUUCAAGGAUUGCAUUGGAGCAAUAGAUGGUACUCAUGUCAUUGCCAGAGUUCCUAGGUAACAGUUUGCAGCAUACAGGGGGAGGAAGGAUUACACAAGACAGAAUGUGCUUGCUGCUGUUGAUUUUGAACUGAAGUUCACAUAUGUGCUGGCUGGCUGAGAGGGGUCAGCGCAUGAUGAUAAUAUUCUUACUGAUAGCAUGAGUCGGCCUAAUGGGAUCAACAUCCCCGACGGCAAGUUCUACCUUGGAGAUGCUGGCUAUGCAUGCCAGACGGGCAUUCUUUCACCCUUUAGGAAAACUAGGUACCAUCUCAACGAGUUCUCUGGUAGGAACUAUCCUAGGACUGCGCAGGAGCUAUUUAAUCUCAGACACUCCAGCCAUAGAGUAAUUGUUGAGGGGGCAUUUGGAGCUCUGAAGAAUAGUUUUAAGAUCCUGGAUCAGAAGUCAUUCCACCCAUACUCCACUCAGGUUAAGCUUGUUCUUGCUUGUUGCAUUCUUCAUAACUGGAUACUUCAGUGGGGCUUUGAUGAACACAUGCCUGAGGAGGAAGAGGUCGAGCCUGACGAUGUUGUUAGUUCCGGCCAUGGUGUGGAGGCAUUUGACAAUGACGCUUGGAAGAACGAAAUGUUGGACUGGGCAGAGGCAAUGUGGCUUAACAGAGGUGAGUGCAGGAUUUGAACAGGGAGGAAGAAGAAGCAGCAGAAGCAGAAGAAGUGGAAGAUGAAGAGGAAGAUCUGGUAGCCGCAACACCGAUGAAGUAUCCCCUAUUUAGCCAAUGGCUCUUAAUAAUUUGAACUGUCAUUUGAUAGUAGUUUGGAUGAACUAUCAUUUGUUUAACUAGCUGGCACUACAUGUUCAGAUUGUGUGUGGUAAGCUCACCACUAGUUAGAAGUGGUGACAACACCUUAUGCAGGUUAAAACCAAACACCAUGUCAUAUGUGCGCCUAAUGCAAUGCGGGCAACCAAAAGCCGGUCAAAAAUGGUUGUCUCAUGCAACUACAUGCAGACAACCAAACUAUGUGCAUCUGGGGUCUUUUUGCCUGCAUCUCCUCAAACCGGCUCACUAGAGCCAGGCUCGCCGGGCCAGACUCGAUUGGCAAUGUAACCAAACACGCCCCAAGUUUCCUUCACACUUUAUUUCCCACGAUAUUCCUCACGAUAUGUCAGACGGAGAGGUGGCUGCUGGAACAUAUUUGUUUGUGGAUUGAGCCAGGAAUGUGAAGCACUGAAAUAUUCAUCUACCAAAUCCGGUAUCAAGACAGCUCUGACAAAUUUUUGAUUUCCAUUCUUCUUUUGCAGGGGCUCUAGCCAUAGCAAGUGUUUCGCUCUACUCGAAGACUUUAGGUGGGUGUGUUGUUUUCAGUGGUUUGGUUUCCCUAAGAAAAUCGCUUGCUGAGAGGGUGCCACUUGAAGCCAGAAAGACUCCGGUUUUUUGGUUCCAUGGGAUGGCAGACCGCAGAUGGGGUGGUACUGUUUGACGCCGGGCACGCAGGAUGCACAUUUCUCCAAGAGCUUAGCAUGGCCUGCGAAUUCAAGACUUAUGCUACUCUUGGGCACUCAUUGGUGGAUGACGAGCUCCAGUUUUUCUUUUCGCGGGGAAGCUCCAUUAUUUUCGACAGUGGAUAUUCGAUCAUCCACGGAUCUCUCAAGGAAAUGAAGCGGCAACACUAUUGACAUCAUUUUGACCAUAUAGAUUUUAACCAGCUACUUAAAUUCAUGGGUACCAUUUCUAGGGCUGCUACAUCAACAUGAGUAAUAACACGAAUAUGAGUUUCUCUAGCCACAUGAAUUUUGCUUGCCCAAAAAAGUUUGAAACUUUUCCAGCAUGGUCAUCAUGAUGGUGUUCAUUUUAGAGAAAGUUUUCAGUUUUUUCUAUACACUUUUUUUGGGGUCGAAAUUUGAUUAAAAAUUUCCUGAAUAUUUAUUUUGCUUGUACUUUUUAAUAUAUUUGACAAAGAAGUUGUUGACA